UAUCAGUUAUUGUUCCAAUGGUGCA
rnacentral:piRNA from 1 species